UAAGUAAGCUUUGAUCCAGAGAUUUCCGAAUGGGGAAACCCAGCAUGAGUUAUGUCAUGUUAUCGAUAUGUGAAUACAUAGCAUAUCAGAAGGCACACCCGGAGAACUGAAACAUCUUAGUACCCGGAGGAAGAGAAAGAAAAUUCGAUUCCCUUAGUAGCGGCGAGCGAAACGGGAAGAGCCCAAACCAACAAGCUUGCUUGUUGGGGUUGUAGGACACUCUAUACGGAGUUACAAAGGACGACAUUAGACGAAUCAUCUGGAAAGAUGAAUCAAAGAAGGUAAUAAUCCUGUAGUCGA
rnacentral:rRNA from 1 species